rnacentral:rRNA from 1 species
GACGAACGCUGGCGGCGUGCCUAACACAUGCAAGUCGAGCGGAGUCGAUCGACGGAAGCCUUCGAGCGGAAGAUGGUUGACUUAGCGGCGGAUGGGUGAGUAACGCGUGGGCAACCUGCCUCGAAGACCGGGAUAACAGCCCGAAAGGGCUGCUAAUACCGGAUGUGGUCAAGGAUCCGCAUGGAUUUUUGAUUAAAGGGGAAACCCGUUUCGAGAUGGGCCCGCGUCCUAUCAGCUAGUUGGUGAGGUAAAAGCUCACCAAGGCGACGACGGGUAGCCGGCCUGAGAGGGUGACCGGCCACACUGGAACUGAGACACGGUCCAGACUCCUACGGGGGGCAGCAGUGGGGAAUCUUCCACAAUGGGCGAAAGCCUGAUGGAGCGACGCCGCGUGAGCGAAGAAGGCCUUCGGGUUGUAAAGCUCUGUCUGGAGGGACGAAGGAAGUGACGGUACCUCCGGAGGAAGCCACGGCUAACUACGUGCCAGCAGCCGCGGUAAAAGUACUACUAU